rnacentral:rRNA from 1 species
UACGUAGGGGGCAAGCGUUGUCCGGAUUUAUUGGGCGUAAAGCGCGUGUAGGCGGCCAUACAGGUCCGUUGUGAAAUCCCUCGGCUUAACCGAGGAACUGCCUCCCAAACUGCUUGGCUUGAGACCGGGAGAGGUGAGUGGAAUUCCCAGUGUAGCGGUGAAAUGCGUAGAUAUUGGGAGGAACACCAGUGGCGAAGGCGGCUCACUGGACCGGUACUGACGCUGAGACGCGAAAGCGUGGGGAGCGAACAGG